rnacentral:rRNA from 1 species
AGAAGCUUGCUUCUUUGCUGACGAGUGGCGGACGGGUGAGUAAUGUCUGGGAAACUGCCUGAUGGAGGGGGAUAACUACUGGAAACGGUAGCUAAUACCGCAUAACGUCGCAAGACCAAAGAGGGGGACCUUCGGGCCUCUUGCCAUCGGAUGUGCCCAGAUGGGAUUAGCUAGUAGGUGGGGUAACGGCUCACCUAGGCGACGAUCCCUAGCUGGUCUGAGAGGAUGACCAGCCACACUGGAACUGAGACACGGUCCAGACUCCUACGGGAGGCAGCAGUGGGGAAUAUUGCACAAUGGGCGCAAGCCCGAUGCAGCCAUGCCGCGUGUAUGAAGAAGGCCUUCGGGUUGUAAAGUACUUUCAGCGGGGAGGAAGGGAGUAAAGUUAAUACCUUUGCUCAUUGACGUUACCCGCAGAAGAAGCACCGGCUAACUCCGUGCCAGCAGCCGCGGUAAUACGGAGGGUGCAAGCGUUAAUCGGAAUUACUGGGCGUAAAGCGCACGCAGGCGGUUUGUUAAGUCAGAUGUGAAAUCCCCGGGCUCAACCUGGGAACUGCAUCUGAUACUGGCAAGCUUGAGUCUCGUAGAGGGGGGUAGAAUUCCAGGUGUAGCGGUGAAAUGCGUAGAGAUCUGGAGGAAUACCGGUGGCGAAGGCGGCCCCCUGGACGAAGACUGACGCUCAGGUGCGAAAGCGUGAGGAGCAAACAGGAUUAGAUACCCUGGUAGUCCACGCCGUAAACGAUGUCGACUUG